rnacentral:rRNA from 1 species
CCUACGGGGGGCAGCAGUAGGGAAUCUUCCACAAUGGGCGCAAGCCUGAUGGAGCAACACCGCGUGAGUGAAGAAGGGUUUCGGCUCGUAAAGCUCUGUUGUUGGAGAAGAACGUGCGUGAGAGUAACUGUUCACGCAGUGACGGUAUCCAACCAGAAAGUCACGGCUAACUACGUGCCAGCAGCCGCGGUAAUACGUAGGUGGCAAGCGUUAUCCGGAUUUAUUGGGCGUAAAGCGAGCGCAGGCGGUUGCUUAGGUCUGAUGUGAAAGCCUUCGGCUUAACCGAAGAAGUGCAUCGGAAACCGGGCAACUUGAGUGCAGAAGAGGACAGUGGAACUCCAUGUGUAGCGGUGGAAUGCGUAGAUACAUGGAAGAACACCAGUGGCGAAGGCGGCUGUCUGGUCUGCAACUGACGCUGAGGCUCGAAAGCAUGGGUAGCGAACAGGAUUAGAUACCCGGGUAGUC